ensembl:rRNA 5S_rRNA 5S ribosomal RNA
GUCUAUGGCCAUACCAGCCUAAAUAUGUGCCAUCUCUUCUGGUCUCAGAAGCUAAGCAGGGUUGGGCCUGGUUAGUACUUGGACGGGAAAUUUGAGAUACUACUGGUCCCUAGUAU